rnacentral:rRNA from 1 species
AGCUCCAAUAGCGUAUAUUAAAGUUGCUGCAGUUAAAAAGCUCGUAGUUGGAUUUGUGGCGUGGUCGUCCGGCGGGGCUCCUUCAUUGGGGCCGUUUGUCUGGUUCUUCGACCGCACCAUUCUCGGGUAGUGUGUCGCUGGCAUUAGGUUGUCGGCUUCUUCACGCCCGUCGUUUACUGUGAAAAAAUUAGAGUGUUCAAAGCAGGCUUAGGCCGUUGGAUACAUUAGCAUGGAAUAAUGAGAUAGGGCCACGACGGUCUAUUUUGUUGGUUUGCACGUUGUGGUAAUGAUUAACAGGAACGGUUGGGGGUAUUCGUAUUCAAUUGUCAGAGGUGAAAUUCUUGGAUUUAUGGAAGACGAACUACUGCGAAAGCAUUUACCAAGGAUGUUUUCAUUAAUC